rnacentral:rRNA from 1 species
GACGAACCGUGCGACCGUUGUUCGGAAUCACUGGGCUUAAAGGGCGCGUAGGCGGGCGGUCCAGUCAGGGGUGAAAUCUUUCGGCUCAACCGGAAAAGUGCCCCUGAUACUGACGGCCUCGAGGGGUGUAGGGGCAUGUGGAACUAAUGGUGGAGCGGUGAAAUGCGUAGAUAUCAUUAGGAACGCCGGUGGCGAAAGCGACGUGCUGGACACCUUCUGACGCUGAGGCGCGAAAGCUAGGGGAGCAAACAGG